AGUGAACGCUGGCGGCAGGCCUAAUACAUGCAAGUCGAACGGCAGCACAGCAGAGCUUGCUCUGUGGGUGGCGAGUGGCGGACGGGUGAGGAAUACGUGGGAAUCUGCCCAGUCGUGGGGGAUAACGUAGGGAAACUUACGCUAAUACCGCAUGCGCCCUUUGGGGGAAAGCCGGGGAUCUUCGGACCUGGCGCGAUUGGAUGAGCCCACGUCGGAUUAGCUAGUUGGAGGGGUAAAGGCCCACCAAGGCGACGAUCCGUAGCUGGUCUGAGAGGAUGAUCAGCCAGACUGGAACUGAGACACGGUCCAGACUCCUACGGGAGGCAGCAGUAGGGAAUAUUGGACAAUGGGCGCAAGCCUGAUCCAGCCAUGCCGCGUGAGUGAAGAAGGCCCUCGGGUUGUAAAGCUCUUUUGUUGGGGAAGAAAAGCCUUGGGUUAAUACCCCGAAGUCCUGACGGUACCGGAAGAAUAAGCACCGGCUAACUUCGUGCCAGCAGCCGCAGUAA
rnacentral:rRNA from 1 species